rnacentral:lncRNA from 1 species
CAGUAAUUAUGAGAAGUCCUAAAUGUAGAGAGAUUAAGCUGCCUGAGAUUGUCCGGCUAAUAAGAAGUACACCCUGGAUGUGAAUGGAGUUCCUUUAACUUCUAAAUCCAGGCUUAUGCUAGAAGCUGUGAAAGCUUUCAGAGAUGAAGAAAAUGUAUCCUUUGUAAUCACUGAGAAAGAUGACUUGCCCCACAUACAUGAAACAAGUAAAGGGCCUCAAUAUAACAGCACCGUACAUUUUUCUGUCUAUGGAGGAGCUGAAGCAGAUUCUAAUAUUACUCCCAACCCAUGUUUUCUUCUCUUGUCCUUGGAUAUCUGUGAUGAAGAAAUGGAACUGGGGAGAUGCUGGAGAAAGGAUACAGACUUGCAAUUAGAAGAUGAGUAUCUUCUGGAGCUCUGCAGACAGCAUGGCGAUUACAGAUCCAAGAACAUCCAGACUGGAAACUAGAUGGCUUGGAUUGCUUUCUGGAAGGAAGAGAACUUGUAAGGAAGAGAAAUAUCCUGUACACCAUAUAUAAAAGAAGCUCUCUGCACAGGAACUGUCUGGGAGUUUUGUCUUUAUCAAAAAAUGUUCUUCAGCCCCAAGCCUUUACCAUCUAUCUUUCAAAAACUCUUCAAGGAUUUGGUUUUAUUUCCAGCCAAGUCAGAUCACAGGAAUUCCCACUCAUAUUUAUUUCUCUCUCUGUAAGUUCUUCAUGUUCUAUGUGUAAUCUGUCCCCGUGGAUGUUGUAAUGCAGCAACUUUUUUCACGUGAACCAGAAAUUAACCUUUAGUACUUUGGCUCCAGCAGAGAGAUGCUAUUAGUCUUGGUAGCCAUCUGCCUCUCUUGCCCCAUAUUAAAUGUAUUAUCUCCUCA